rnacentral:rRNA from 1 species
AUGGGCCACGCCCCAAGGAGGUUGGUCUCUGCCCUCUAUGUAAAGCCACCAUGGGUGCCCGUUGAAGUGAGAAUCGGUCAGAAGUGGAGACGAGCAAAUGUUUUAAGGCAAGCUGAUCGCAGGGGACUCUGUCUUGUGAGCAUCAGAGGGCCGGCGCCCGAGUCUGACCCUAUAAUGGUACCGCUAUCAACGAUCCGGAUACCUUCUGACCCUCCUGUUGCUAGGAAAAGACCAGACACUCGCCCUAAUUUCCGAGUGAAGAAGCCCACCGCCGAAGGCGGUAGCGAGUAG